rnacentral:rRNA from 1 species
AGUGAACGCUGGCGGCAGGCCUAACACAUGCAAGUCGAACGGCAGCACAGUAAGAGCCUGCGCUGACGGGUGGCGAGUGGCGGAUGGGUGAGGGAAACAUCGGAAGCUACUUGUUCGUGGGGGACAACGGAGGGAUACAUACGCUAAUACCGCAUACGACGUACGGGUGAAAGCAGGGGAUCUUCGGCCCUUGCGCGAUUGAAUGAGCCGAUGUCGGAUUAGCUAGUUGGCGGGGUAAAGGCCCACCAAGGCGACGAUCCGUAGCUGGUCUGAGAGGACGAUCAGCCACACUGGAACUGAGACACGGUCCAGACUCCUACGGGAGGCAGCAGUGGGGAAUAUUGGACAAUGGGCGCAAGCCUGAUCCAGCCAUACCGCGUGGGUGAAGAAGGCCUUCGGGUUGUAAAGCCCUUUUGUUCGGAAAGAAAAGCAGCAGGUUAAUACCCCGCUGUUAUGACGGUACCCGAAGAAUAAGCACCGGCUAACUUCGUG